rnacentral:rRNA from 1 species
GACGUAGGUGGCGAACGUUAUCCGGAAUUAUUGGGCGUAAGGGGUGCGUAGGCGGCAUGAUAAGUUAUUGGCGGCAAAUCGAGGCUCAACCUCGUGGAAACUGAUAAUACUGUCUUGCUUGAGUGCAGAAGAGGUUAACGGAACUCCAUGUGGAGCGGUAAAAUGUGUAGAUAUAUGGAAGAACACCAAUAACGGCGAAGGCAGUUAACUAUUCUGUUACUGACGUUGAGGCACGAAAGCGUGGGGAGCAAAAAGG